rnacentral:rRNA from 1 species
AACGAACGCUGGCGGCAUGCCUAACACAUGCAAGUCGAACGAGACCUUCGGGUCUAGUGGCGCACGGGUGCGUAACGCGUGGGAAUCUGCCCUUAGGUUCGGAAUAACUUCGGGAAACUGAAGCUAAUACCGGAUGAUGACGUAAGUCCAAAGAUUUAUCGCCUAAGGAUGAGCCCCGCGUUGGAUUAGCUAGUUGGUGAGGUAAAGGCUCACCAAGGCGACGAUCCAUAGCUGGUCUGAGAGGAUGAUCAGCCACACUGGGACUGAGACACGGCCCAGACUCUUACGGGAGGCAGCAGUGGGAAUAUUGGACAAUGGCGAAGCCUGAUCCAGCAAUGCCGCGUGAGUGAU